rnacentral:rRNA from 1 species
CCGCGGUAAUUCCAGCUCCAAUAGCGUAUAUUAAAGUUGUUGCAGUUAAAAAGCUCGUAGUUGAAUUUCGGGGUUAGUAGGUUGGUCAUGCCUCUGGUAUGUACUGGUCUCACUGAUUCCUCCUUCCUGAUGAGCCGUAAUGCCAUUAAUUUGGUGUUGCGGGGAAUUUGGACUGUUACUUUGAAAAAAUUAGAGUGUUUAAAGCAAGCUAACGCUUGAAUACAUUAGCAUGGAAUAAUGAAAUAGGACGUUCGAUCCUAUUUUGUUGGUUUCUAGGAUUGACGUAAUGAUUAAUAGGGAUAGUUGGGGGCAUUAGUAUUCAAUUGUCAGAGGUGAAAUUCUUGGAUUUAUUGAAGACUAACUACUGCGAAAGCAUUUGCCAAGGAUGUUUUCAUUAAUCAAGAACGAAAGUUAGGGGAUCGAAGACGAUCAGAUACCGUCGUAGUCUUAACCAUAAACUAUGCCGACUAGGGAUCGGAUGAUGUUAAUUUUUUAAUGACUCAUUCGGCGCCUUACG